AGGACGAACGCUGGCGGCGUGCUUAACACAUGCAAGUCGAGCGGUAAGGCCUUUCGGGGUACACGAGCGGCGAACGGGUGAGUAACACGUGGGUGAUCUGCCCUGCACUCUGGGAUAAGCCUGGGAAACUGGGUCUAAUACCGGAUAUGACCUGCUCUCGCAUGGGGGUGGGUGGAAAGAUUUAUCGGUGCAGGAUGGGCCCGCGGCCUAUCAGCUUGUUGGUGGGGUAUGGCCUACCAAGGCGACGACGGGUA
rnacentral:rRNA from 1 species